rnacentral:tRNA from 1 species
GGGAAUGUGGCUUAGUGGUAGAGUGCUUGUCUAGCAUGCAUGAAGCCCUGGGUUCGAUUCCUCAGUACUA